AAUAUGAACAUUGUGAGAAACUCUCACCAACCUAACGAAACACGAUGGAUCUUCCAUUGGACGGCAGAUCUUGCGGACGCACAGAAAUCUCUGUACAAGUUAUCUGCACCGUCCACAGGUGAUCUGCUUCGUGAUGCGUGCACAGUGCUUACUGGCGGUGACCACAUCCUGCGCCAGAGAUCAAGUCGCGAAAAAUCCCCCAAACCCUAAUACAACCCCCUCCGGCGGCCCCCCUUUCCCCUGCUCAUUCUCCCUAUCGACUGCUCGAAGGCUGGACGAAUCCAAACCCGAACCCUUGCGAGCGCAGAACCUGUGAGUCCUCCUUUUCUUGCUUCCGUUUCGUUCUCCCGCCGAUCGUUCUUAUCGUUUCCUGACCGGCGAACCCCUAGGGUUAGUGUUCUUUUGUUGCAUUGUCUCUUUUCUUCGAUGUUUUUAUCUUAUGUGGAUUUUAACUUGUUGUAGCUUUCUCUUAUGUCAAAGUUUUGUUUUCUUUUCGGUUUAUUGAUUUGAUUUUUGGGCUCUUUUAUAAGAAACAUAGAUAGAAUCGCGAACCUGUGUUGGAUUUCGAGUAGGAUCGGUUGUUUAUUUUACGAUUGUAAAGAUAACCAGUCGUUCCACAUCACUGCUGGUCUCCGUAUUUUGGUUCAUUGUUGCGGGUUUUCACUUUUAUUAAGGAAAAAAUGAAGUGAGAUGCAAUGAUUCGGGAUCGUAAGAGCGAUGGUGGAGGAAACCUAUGUUCUCCAGUUUUCUACUGAGCUGAUUGGAUAAGACAUCUAAGGAAAGCCCAAUUGUCGGAAAAGUUUUCUCAUAGCAUAUAUUGCUUGAAUGAUUGGUGAGCAAGGAUUAAAAUUUAAUCCCAAGUGCAUAUAGAUGAAUAAGGCCAAUUGGUUACAACAAACAUCAAAAUGCUUUCGUUUUUGAACACCUGGAUGCGGCAAACAAUAUGAUUUAAAGUAGGAUUUAGAGAGCAAUGAGAAGAGAACCAAAUAUGCUCCAGAUAGGCGCAGGAAUCACUCCUGUUUAUUUUAAUUGCAACUACGGUGGAGAGUUUAUGCUAGAUAAAGGGAAUAGGAGAAAGGAGUCUAAAGGAAAGGAUGAAAAAAAAUCACUAAAUUGUGGGAAAAGAGUCUUGUGGGUUGUGGUGCACCUGGUCCUCGCAUUUGUGUCUUAUCAAAGUGGGAUCAUUAGAAGAAGAGGAGAUGUUGUGAGAGCUUCACUCUUGGUUAUAUCGGAGGAGAGAAAGGAGGUAGAGAGGGAGAAGGGUGAAGGAAAGGGUUAAAAA
rnacentral:lncRNA from 1 species